rnacentral:rRNA from 1 species
CCCAAGAGAUCGGGAUAACACCUGGAAACAGAUGCUAAUACCGGAUAACAACAGAUGAUGCCUAUCAACUGUUUAAAAGAUGGUUCUGCUAUCACUCUUGGAUGGACCUGCGGUGCAUUAGCUAGUUGGUAGGGUAACGGCCUACCAAGGCGAUGAUGCAUAGCCGAGUUGAGAGACUGAUCGGCCACAUUGGGACUGAGACACGGCCCAAACUCCUACGGGAGGCAGCAGNG